GACGAAGGAUUCAAGCGUUGUCCGGAUUUACUGGGUUUAAAGGGUGCGUAGGCGGAACUUUAAGUCAGUGGUGAAAGCUCUCGGCUCAACCGAGAAACUGCCAUUGAAACUGAUUUUCUUGAAUACAGUUGAGGUAGAUGGAAUAUAACAUGUAGCGGUGAAAUGCUUAGAUAUGUUAUAGAACACCGAUUGCGAAGGCAGUCUGCUAAGCUGUUAUUGACGCUGAGGCACGAAAGCGUGGGGAGCAAACAGGAUUAGAAACCCCCGUAGUCC
rnacentral:rRNA from 1 species